GAUUAAGUUAUUAAGGGCGCACGGUGGAUGCCUUGGCACUAGAAGCCGAUGAAGGACGUUACUAACGACGAUAUGCUUUGGGGAGCUGUAAGUAAGCUUUGAUCCAGAGAUUUCCGAAUGGGGAAACCCAGCAUGAGUUAUGUCAUGUUAUCGAUAUGUGAAUACAUAGCAUAUCAGAAGGCACACCCGGAGAACUGAAACAUCUUAGUACCCGGAGGA
rnacentral:rRNA from 1 species